CACAACGCCAGAGACCUGGGUUCAAUCCUGACCUCAGCACUGUUUGUAUGGAGUUCACGUGUUCUCCUCGUGACUAUGCCAGUUUCUUCCUGGUGCUCUCGUUUCCUGCCAUAUUCCAAAGACGUGCACAUUGUUCUGUAGAUUUCUGAGGUGACCAAUGAGGUCAACAUGGAUACCACAGACUCUUCCACAGAUGGGUCAGGAGAUGCCCGAAAGGCCAAGCAGAUAUAAAUUAUGGGCAGAAGAUGGCUAUCCUGUUACAAUCAUUGCAAAUAUUUGCUUAACACAAAUGAUGGAACAUAUCUGACAAGAAACUUGUUGAUCCAAGGAUGGGCGGCAAAAGAAAUUUAUGGUUCAAUUGUUUCUAGCAUCCUGGUGUAAAGUCUUACAUGGAUAUGAAACUUCAUAUGCAAUUAAUAUUGACUAGAUUACAAACUCACAAAGAGACUAAGUAAUGCUUAAAAACUGAAAAAUAUGGAAUAAUUCUUUCAGAGAAACCUAUUCUUAAAUCAGCAGAAAAGUUCAGUUAAUUUCCUACUUGAACUUCCCUGUUAAAUAUAUUGACAUAUAUGAAAGCCUGCAUGUGUCCCUGUGUUCUCACUGGAUCAGAGGGGAAAAUUUGGAACUCUGCCAUAACCUUUAAUUCAUGAUUCCUUGGAACAACGAUACCCUGAAAUCUUUGUAAUAAAACCCAUUAGUUUAAGGAUCUGCCACGAUGGCACUAAAAGGUCUGACGAAAAGGUCUGGAUGCUCGGAGAAUGUGGGAAUUUGACUGGAAGUCUGAACCUGCAUCCAUGAACCUGGAUCUGGAAGAAGUGAAAGGCUGAGGCGUUUAAAAGUGAUGUAAUCAGCAGAAUAGAAAUGUCAAUACUUCUGCCAAACCAUGGAAGAUUUUUAACAGAAUGUAAAAUUAAAAUCAGGAUAUUAGAAAAAAAACUGCAAACUGAGAGCAAUGAAAUCCUGUAAGAUUACUUGAGACACCAAACUAGAAAGGUUAACAAAAAUAAUCGAAGUAAGGGAAACUCAUGGAAAUAGAAACUAAA